CAGCAGCCGCGGGAACACAGAGGGUGCGAGCGUUAAUCGGAUUUACUGGGCGUAAAGCGUGCGUAGGCGGCUUUUUAAGUCGGAUGUGAAAUCCCUGAGCUUAACUUAGGAAUUGCAUUCGAUACUGGGAGGCUAGAGUAUGGGAGAGGAUGGUAGAAUUCCAGGUGUAGCGGUGAAAUGCGUAGAGAUCUGUAGGAAUACCGAUGGCGAAGGCAUCCAUCUGGCUUAAUACUGACGCCGAGGUACGAAAGCAUGGGGAGCAAACAGGAUUAGAUACCCCAGUAGUCCCUGUCUCUUAUAC
rnacentral:rRNA from 1 species